rnacentral:rRNA from 1 species
CUCGAGGCCAGAUCUUUCCGGUUGAUCCUGCCGGAAGUCACCGCUAUUGGAAUACGAUUAAGCCAUGCGAGUCGAGAGGGUACGGCCCUCGGCGCAACGCUCAGUAACACGUGGAUAAUCUGCCCUGAGGUGGGGGAUAACCUCUGCGAAAGUGAGAAUAAUACCCCAUAGGUGGGGGACGGCUGGAAUGCCACCCCGCUGAAACGAGCUAUCGCCUCAGGAUGAGUCUGCGGCCUAUCAGGUUGUAGUGGGGGUAAGGUCCCUACUAGCCUUCGACGGGUACGGGCCUUGGGAGAGGUAGCCCGGAGAUGGAUUCUGAGACAUGAAUCCAGGCCCAACGGGGCGCAGCAGGCGCGAAAACUUCACAAUGCGGGAAACCGCGAUGAGGGUAUUCCAAGUGCGUGCGCAAUGCGUACGCUUUUCUCCAGUCUAGAUCGCUUGAGGAAUAAGGGCUGGGUAAGACCGGUGCCAGCCGCCGCGGUAACACCGGCAGCCCAAGUGGUGAUCACUUUUAUUGGGCCUAAAGCGUCCGUAGCCGGCUCGGUAAGUCCUUGGGUAAA